AACGAACGCUGGCGGCAGGCCUAACACAUGCAAGUCGAGCGCGCCCUUCGGGGUGAGCGGCGGACGGGUGAGUAACGCGUGGGAACGUGCCCUUUUCUACGGAAUAGCCUCGGGAAACUGAGAGUAAUACCGUAUACGCCCUUUGGGGGAAAGAUUUAUCGGAAAAGGAUCGGCCCGCGUUGGAUUAGGUAGUUGGUGGGGUAAUGGCCUACCAAGCCGACGAUCCAUAGCUGGUUUGAGAGGAUGAUCAGCCACACUGGGACUGAGACACGGCCCAGACUCCUACGGGAGGCAGCAGUGGGGAAUCUUAGACAAUGGGGGCAACCCUGAUCUAGCCAUGCCGCGUGAGUGAUGAAGGCCUUAGGGUUGUAAAGCUCUUUCAGCUGGGAAGAUAAUGACGGUACCAGGAGAAGAAGCCCCGGCUAACUCCGUG
rnacentral:rRNA from 1 species